GACGAACGCUGGCGGCGUGCCUAACACAUGCAAGUCGAACGAGGUCCAUGGGAGCUUGCUCCCGGAAGACCUAGUGGCGAACGGGUGAGUAACACGUGAGAAACCUGCCCUGGAGUGGGGAAUAACUCGGGGAAACUCGAGCUAAUACCGCAUACCCUCGGAUGGUCGCAUGGCCGACCGAGGAAAGAUUUAUCGCUCUAGGAGGGUCUCGCGGCCUAUCAGCUAGUUGGUGGGGUAACGGCCUACCAAGGCAACGACGGGUAGCUGGUUUGUGAGAACGAUCAGCCACACUGGGACUGAGACACGGCCCAGACUCCUACGGGAGGCAGCAGUGGGGAAUCUUGCGCAAUGGGCGAAAGCCUGACGCAGCAACGCCGCGUGCGGGAUGACGGCCUUCGUGGUUGUAAACCGCUUUCAGCAGGGACGAAAAUGACGGUACCUGCAGAAGAAGCCCCGGCUAACUACGUGCCAGCCGCCGCCGUAACAC
rnacentral:rRNA from 1 species